CCUCUUGUUAGUAUUGCGCGUCUAAAAACUAAAGUGAAGUGAGAUUUUCUAAUUGUGCAAAUAAAUGACAUUAUUUAGCAUAUUGCACCAAAUUUGGUUGGCAAGAUCGCUUGCUGCUUUUGCCCGUAAUACUCCGGAAGUUUUGGCAACACCUACUCAAAAAGCAUCGACGAAAACGUGCAGAGCUAAACUGGAGAGAGAGAGUGAUGUGGGAGUGAGGGAAGUUGAGUCCCAACUGUAUUGGCCAUGUGUCUGUGCGGUUGUAACAAAGUUAUAUUGGUUUGCGUGACUAUGAACAAAAGUAAAAUAACAAUUACAACAACGACAACACAGCGGCCACAGUAUGCUGUCCCACAGUCCCCUGAAAACAGCUCCAGCCUGUUCUGUGCUGUGCUAUGCUGUCCUCUGCCUGGCCUGGCAUGGUGGCCACAAGCAAACACAAAAACCAAAACGAAGCAACCAAAACCGUACAACAGUAGCAAUAACAACAGAAAACAGCAACGGCAACGCCAACAAUAACAAUAAGAAAUAGAUG